rnacentral:rRNA from 1 species
ACGGGUGCGUAACACGUAUGUAACCUUUCCUUAACUGGAGAAUAGCUCCGAGAAAUCGGGAUUAAUACUCCAUAACACUGCGAAGUGGCAUCACUUUGCAAUUAAAGCUCCGGCGGUUAAGGGCGGGCAUGCGUCCCAUUAGCUAGUUGGCGAGGUAACGGCUCACCAAGGCUACGAUGGGUAGGGGUUCUAAGAGGAUUUACCCCCACACUGGCACUGAGAUACGGGCCAGACUCCUACGGGAGGCAGCAGUAAGGAAUAUUGGUCAAUGGGCGCAAGCCUGAACCAGCCAUGCCGCGUGUAGGAUGAAGGUCCUACGGAUUGUAAACUACUUUUGUACGGGAAAAAACCCCUCGUUUCUACGAGGGUUGAUGGUACUGUAAGAAUAAGGAUCGGCUAACUCCGUGCCAGCAGCCGCGG